ACGUAAAGACGCAUUCCUGCUUAGAGAUAAGACUGGAGUUGUUUUCGUCUAACAGAUGGAAGUGGAACUAAAACAAACAAUGCAAAUUUCAAGUUCAGCUGCGCUGAGUGGGCACAAUGAGUUGUUUACAUACGUGAACCGUUGAUUUCGUGACGUGAGCAGAAAACCCCCUUGAGAGAAUAACCGUAGCGUGAUGGAAUAGAAAGAAUGUCAGUUUGACUGAAGAUCCUGUUGUAUGACACUUUUUUGAGGUUUAAAACACGAAGUAAAUCGAGGCAAUUGGGACAUAUCAGCUGAAGGUAUCUUGAAACUGUCUAGGAGAAGCUGACCGUUGGAGCUUUGCUGAGCCGUAUUCCUGAAUAGAUAGAGGAAGACUGUGUCUGGAUUUUAUUCUCUUGCUGAUUAAGGUAAUUAAAGAGCAUGAACGCCCGACUUAAAGCCAAGAUAUCAAAUCGACGGAGCUUUGUGGAAAGGAAGAAAGCUGUUUGCGAUGAGACAAGAUUUCUUAUAAUCUCUGGAAACAGUCCCGAGGCCGCUGAACAGAAACAACUAUUUGAUCCAAGUUGCUUGAGCUCGAUGGUUCUAGAUCUUCAGUCUGUGAAAGGCUCAAGCUCAAUUGUACAGAAUCAGUGUUUUGCAACAACUCGAGCGCCGACUGAAGUGAAGUGUAAACCAGGAUCUCGUGACACAUGCGGCAGUUAUCCGCAUGUCCUUACAGCUGUUAGUGGCGAAGUAAAGUGUUGGCUUCCAAGCCCGUUACUGAUGAAGCGUCGAAACGCGAUUUGCGAUGAGAUCGAAAAAAGAACAAUAGCUAUGUCAGGUAGAACUUUAAGGCAAAAGAGAGUUGAUAUGCUUCGCUCCAUUGCGCUGACACAAUUCUCUUUGUUAUGAAUAUUUUUCUACUAAUUCAAUGUCAAAGAUUCAUCAAUUUCGCUUUUAUGUUUCAUGUUAUACAAAAUUCUUAGUCUGAAGCAUAACUUGCACUAGAAAAAGUGCAUUCAACUCCCUCCAAAAAAUUAAGACAAUCCUAGUUCAUAAUCCCUUAACUAUACGGAUUUCAGUUUACAAGGUAGACGUGUAGGGCGGUUACUUUACAUAAGGAUUCUUAAGUACCCUGUCUUCUAGAAAAUACGUCUUUAAUUCAAACAAUGUAUCUCAGCAAAAUUUGUUCCGACCUGUAAUAAUAUGUAAUUGACUAAUACAAGUUACAUUAUCAUUGUUUAUAAUAUCCAGUGUUGUUACCAAACGGGAUGAAUCAAAGCUCUUCAGUGGAAGUCGGGUGAUUUUUCAAACAGCAUUCUCUAAAUUUCAUGUCAUAACUCGAUGAAUUCCCUAGGAGUUGAAAAAUGCUGGAAAAAUCGAUCUGUAUUUUGUUUGGGUGUAAAUGAUCAUCUUUGACCUCUUUGGCGUCAAUCACAAUGCCGUGGGCAGUUUAACUGAUACAGUAAUGGUGACUCAUUGACCAAAACCGAAAAUAUGUGAAUUUUGAUAAAAGAACCGAAUACUGAUAUUGAAAAGUAAUUUGAUUUGCCGUGUGAUAGAGAAAGUAUUCCUCAAAGGCGAUUAAACUUCCAGCGUGGUGUGGCUGUACAA